rnacentral:rRNA from 1 species
AGCCCAAACCGUUGCCGUUUCGGCGACAGCGGGGUCAUGGGACCGCGAUACUCGACGGAAGACGAAGUGCAAUUACCUGGAAAGGUAAGCCGUGGAGGGUGAUAGCCCCGUGCACGACACCUCCAUCUAAGAUAGCGGUAUCCCGAGUAGGGCGGGACACGAGAAAUCCUGCCUGAAUUCGCCAGGACCUCCUGGCAAGGCUAAAUACUCCCGAGAGACCGAUAGUGAACCAGUACCGCGAGGGAAAGGUGAAAAGUACCCCGAGCAGGGGGGUGAAAUAGACCCUGAACCCGCGCGCCUACAAGCGGUCGGAGCCAUGAAAUAUGGUGACGGCGUGCCUUUUGCAUAAUGAGCCUACGAGUUAGUCGUCACCAGCGAGGUUAAGGGCUUCAGGCCCGUUAGCCGAAGUGAAAGCGAGCCUUAACAGGGCGUCGAGUUGGUGGCGCUAGACGCGAAACCUUGUGAUCUACCCACGAGCAGGUUGAAGUCGCGGUAACACGUGAUGGAGGACCGAACCGGUAAACGUUGAAAAGUUUUCGGAUGACUCGCGGGUAGGGGUGAAAGGCCAAUCAAACUGGGAAAUAGCUCGUACUCUCCGAAAUGCAUUUCGGUGCAGCCUGUGAUGUUCUGUUCCAGAGGUAGAGCUACUGGUUGGACGCGAGGGCUUCACCGCCUAUCAAAUCCGGAUAAACUCCGAAUGCUGGAACACGAAAUCAUGGAGUGAGCCCGCGGGUGCUAAGGUCCGCGGACGAGAGGGAAAGAACCCGGACCACCGGCUAAGGUCCCGGAUGGACAGUUAAGUUGAUCAAACGAGGUGGGAUCGCUGAGACAGCUAGGAUGUUGGCUUGGAAGCAGCCAUUCAUUUAAAGAGUGCGUAACAGCUCACUAGUCGAGCGAUCCCGCGUGGAUAAUACACGGGCAUCAAACUGUCAACCGAAGCCGUGGGGUCAGUGAAUAACUGACCGGUAGGAGAGCAUUCCUGCCAGCUUUGAAGGUCACCCGCGAGAGUGACUGGAGCGGCAUGAAAAGCAAAUGUAGGCAUAAGUAACGAUAAUGGGGGCGAGAACCCCCCACGCCGCAAGACCAAGGAUUCCCCGGCAAUGUCAAUCAGCCGGGGGUCAGCCGGCCUCUAAGGCUCACCCGAAAGGGGAUGCCGACGAGAAACGGGUUAACAUUCCCGUGCUUCUCGUCACCGUGACGCGGUGACGGGGUGAUGAAUGGACCGCGCGCUGACGGAAUAGCGCGUUGAAGGCCGUACCCGAUGAGGGUGGUAGUCAAGCACGCCACCGGAGGCGAGAGCCGAUAGUACCACGAGACCCCGGUCGAGUGGAUAGCGUCCAGGCAAUUUACCCCCUAGAAAACCCGCUAAACUUCAAGUGACGAGGAACCGUACUGUAAACGGACACACGUGGUCGGGUAGAACAUACCAAGGCGCUCGAGUGAUUCAUGGUCAAGGAACUAGGCAAAAUAGUCCUGUAACUUAGGGAUAAAGGACGCUCUAGUGAUAGAGCCGCAGAGUAAUGGCCCAGGCGACUGUUUACCAAAAACACAUGGCUAUGCCAAAUCGAAAGAUGACGUAUAUGGCCUGACACCUGCCCGGUGCCGGAAGGUUAAGAGGAGAGCUCAUCGGAAACGAGAAGGUUUGAAUUGAAGCCCCGGUAAACGGCGGCCGUAACUAUAACGGUCCUAAGGUAGCGAAAUUCCUUGUCGGGUAAGUUCCGACCUGCACGAAUGGUGUAACGAUCUGGGCACUGUCUCGACCAUGAGCUCGGUGAAAUUGUAGUUCCGGUGAAGAUGCCGGGUACCCGCGACGGGACGGAAAGACCCCGUGAACCUUUACUGCAGCUUCGCGUUGUUCCCGGGCACGGGACGUGUAGGAUAGGUCGGAGGCUACGAGUCGGUUUCGCCAGGAAUCGAGGAGCCAUCGUUGAAAUACGACCCUUCUCUUGUCUGGGAUCUAACCCAUGGUAAUGGGGACACCGCGUGGUGGGUAGUUUGACUGGGGUGGUCGCCUCCAAAAGCGUAACGGAGGCUUCCAAAGGUACCCUCGGGUUGGUUGGUAAUCAACCUUAGAGUGCAAUGGCACAAGGGUGCUUGACCGGGAGACUAACAAGUCGAUCGGGUGCGAAAGCAGGGCAUAGUGAUCCGGUGAUCCCGCGUGGAAGGGUCAUCGCUCAAAGGAUAAAAGGUACUCCGGGGAUAACAGGCUGA